CAAGUCUUGGAGCUUGGCAUUGGCAUCCUUGAGAGCCAUCUCCCCACGCUGCUCAGCCUCUGCAAUGGCCGACUGCAGUAUACCCGUUCAGGUCCUGAGCUUCUCCAGGGAAGGGAUUGAGUCCUACCCAUUGUAAAUGUCCAGCUCCUAGUAUAAGGUAAAUAUGUUCGAACAGCAAAUUACACAGAAGAGUCUACCCUACCAUUUGCAAAAUCUCAUCAGUUCAGCGAAGUUCACAGAGCCUGCUAUGUGCAAGGCACUGCAUUGGUGAGAGAGAGGUAAAAGAUGAAUAGGCCAACCACAGUUUGAAGUCAA